rnacentral:lncRNA from 1 species
GGGACUCAAGGAAGGCCGCUACUCCCUGACCAUACCACAGUGUAAUCACCUAUUGUGAGCAGUACAGUGUGGGGCUAAAUCCUGCCAACAUGGGAUCACUGGGGAGUUUCAGUCUCUGAAACACCUAGUAAUGCAAGAUAUUGAAUUUCAUGGAAAGUGUUUUGGAGUUAACAUCAGAAUAUCUGCGUUCUUCAUAUGAUGCCGCCAUUUUGUGGCAUUGAGCAAGUCACUCAACCUCCAUCAUUUUCUUCUCUCCCUCCUCAAUAGCAGAAAGAAGUUUCUAUAACCCAGAGAUGGGAAAACUGGAGCCCAAAGGAUGGAAAUACUGAACCCAUGGGCUCUGUCACUAGACUGCAUCCCAGGGCCUCAACAUAAUAUAUUCUUAAUCAUACUGGGGUAACCUAUUAGAAAGAACCCUGUCCUGGAAUCCUGGAAAAGAGGCCCUGCUAGGAGCUGACCUUGGACAAAUCACUCCCUUCUCUGAACCUCACUGUUCAGGGGGCUGAGAACAGAGGGUCCCUAAGGAAGAGUGUUGUAUGAGAACAGUCUCCGCUCUUGACCCAAGCAAACCUGGCUUCAAAUCUCAACUCCUGUGGCUGACUAGCUGUAUGACCUUGACCUUUCUCAGUUUCCUCAUCUAUAAAGCAGGAUUAAUAAAAGGUACCUAUCUAAUAUGACUGUUCUGAGAAUAAAAUGAAAUAAACUACAUAGGUGAUUUGACAUUGUGCUUGGUUUACAGUAGGUGUUUAAUAAAAGGAAAUUGCUAUAUUAUUA